rnacentral:lncRNA from 1 species
CACGGACAGAGGCAUCACCUCCCAAAAGAAGUCCGUGUCAUAAAGGGUCCCUUGGUUGUGGGGUUUAAUGACAUGAAACUAUUCUAUUCACCUCCAGGGCUAAGGAAGUAUCUUUUGAUUUAUUGCACUGUUCUAAACACUAUGUAAUUAGAUGAGCUUGGAACUCUGCAAGGGGGGCAGUUUGUAGUGCAGAUCCGUUUCCCACUGAAGUGCAUGGAGGCUGCAGGAGCGGAGGUGAAGGGGAUGGAGAUUCCAUGGAACAGAUUUCAUUCUACCCAGGAUUCCUUGAAAGGUGGCUUGAAACUCAUCUCUCAAUUGAAGUCAUGAAUCUGCAGGGGACAAAGAAAAAUGGCAUCCACAUAUCAACUCUAAUUGAUUUGGGGGCACUCUCCAGAGAGUCAGGAAUCUGGUUUAGGUCCCAGACCUAUAGCUUCCAGGGCUCAGACUCCUCAGAAGCUAAGGGUAUGUGCCCCGAUGACCUGGAUCCCUGGUGCUGGCAUCACAUCCAGAUUCCCCAAAGCAGAGAGGGCCCAGUCACCUGGUCCUACUGCAUUCUGGGAAUGACAGACAUGCCACUGGUUUUAAAAGGAUGUAUUUCCAAUGGACCCUUCACCAAGUUGCAAAUUUUAAUUGUAUAAUAGAGAAAUAUGCAUGAGUGUCUUCUGGUUUCCAGCGACUUGAGUUUUGUUGGUUAUUGAACUAAUUAUCCUGAUUCCUAAAUCCC